rnacentral:tRNA from 1 species
GUGGGAUUAGUUUAACAUAAUAAUGUGACCCUUCUAAGUUCAUGAUGUCCGCGGGACAUCCUACA